CCUGGCUCAGAUUGAACGCUGGCGGCAUGCCUUACACAUGCAAGUCGAACGGUAACAGGUCUUCGGAUGCUGACGAGUGGCGAACGGGUGAGUAAUACAUCGGAACGUGCCCGAUCGUGGGGGAUAACGAAGCGAAAGCUUUGCUAAUACCGCAUACGAUCUACGGAUGAAAGCGGGGGAUCGCAAGACCUCGCGCUACCAGAGCGGCUGAUGGCAGAUUAGGUAGUUGGUGGGAUAAAAGCUUACCAAGCCGACGAUCUGUAGCCGGCCUGAGAGGGUGACCGGCCACACUGGGACUGAGACACGGCCCAGACUCCUACGGGAGGCAGCAGUGGGGAAUAUUGCACAAUGGGCGAAAGCCUGAUGCAGCAACGCCGCGUGAGGGACGACGGCCUUCGGGUUGUAAACCUCUUUUAGUAGGGAAGAAGCGAAAGUGACGGUACCUGCAGAAAAAGCACCGGCUAACUACGUGCCAGCAGCCGCGGUAAUACGUAGGGUGCAAGCGUUAUCCGGAAUUAUUGGGCGUAAAGAGCUCGUAGGCGGUUUGUCGCGUCUGCUGUGAAAACCCGAGGCUCAACCUCGGGCCUGCAGUGGGUACGGGCAGACUAGAGUGCGGUAGGGGAGAUUGGAAUUCCUGGUGUAGCGGUGGAAUGCGCAGAUAUCAGGAGGAACACCGAUGGCGAAGGCAGAUCUCUGGGCCGUAACUGACGCUGAGGAGCGAAAGCAUGGGGAGCGAACAGGAUUAGAUACCCUGGUAGUCCAUGCCGUAAACGUUGGGCGCUAGAUGUGGGGACCAUUCCACGGUUUCCGUGUCGCAGCUAACGCAUUAAGCGCCCCGCCUGGGGAGUACGGCCGCAAGGCUAAAACUCAAAGGAAUGACG
rnacentral:rRNA from 1 species